GAACGUCAAUUUUCAUGAUUAUUUCACGACGAAGAUCAUCACAUCAAUGAAUCAAAUAAUACGGACAUGCUUUUGGUAUUAGCAGGGUGCUGGCACCAUAUGCAACAAUGCUUUCAUCUGUGAAUACCCACUUGCUAAGCCCACCAUGAACUACGAAGGCUAAUUGAUAUGUAAGGACACCAAUUAACAGACACUUUCCCAUUAUCGUACAUCACAUACAUGGGUGGUCAAACUCACUGGAUGGUUUAUCAACACUCCCAUGCUCAUGAACAGCCUUGCCCCAGGAAUUUUGCCCUGAAGUAACAUUGCAGUCUAUUGUUUCCAUUCUUUUUACAACCCUGGCAGCCAUGCAGGUAUGCAAUCUAUGAAAGCCAUGAAGGGACAUAGAAUUUUUAAAAAUUUAUAAAAGUAAACCGAGUUCUCGAUUUAUACAAUCCGUUCUCUCGGAUUGACAAUCUUUCAUAACAAAUUGCCAAUUCAUUCUCGCAGAUUAUCAAUCCGUUCCCUCAAAUUACUCUUUGUUUAAAUGA